rnacentral:rRNA from 1 species
CCCCAGGUCAGGUGGGACUACCCGCUGAGUUUAA